rnacentral:rRNA from 1 species
CCAGACUCCUACGGGAGGCAGCAGUGGGGAAUAUUGCACAAUGGGGGGAACCCUGAUGCAGCGAUGCCGCGUGGAGGAAGAAGGUUUUCGGAUUGUAAACUCCUUUUAUCAGGGACGAUAAUGACGGUACCUGAAGAAAAAGCAUCGGCUAACUCCGUGCCAGCAGCCGCGGUAAUACGGAGGAUGCGAGCGUUAUCCGGAUUUAUUGGGUUUAAAGGGUGCGUAGGCGGUCCGUUAAGUCAGCGGUAAAAUUGCGGGGCUCAACCCCGUCGAGCCGUUGAAACUGGCAGACUUGAGUUGGCGAGAAGUACGCGGAAUGCGCGGUGUAGCGGUGAAAUGCAUAGAUAUCGCGCAGAACUCCGAUUGCGAAGGCAGCGUACCGGCGCCAGACUGACGCUGAGGCACGAAAGCGUGGGUAUCGAACAGGAUUAGAUACCCCAGUA